CACAAGCUCUGUGGGUACCAAGGGUAUUAUCUUCUCUGUGAUACGCUCAAGGCCUGGCAUGGGAUAAGUGUUCAAAAUAUUUGUCAAAUCAAAGAAUCAACAUAUUUGGUGAAAAAUGGAAUUUAACCUGAGGAUCAUUUCCUUCGUAAGAAAUGGGAUUGUGGAGCAGGUCAGAAGCUAACUGGCCAGGGUUCAAAUCCCAGCCCCACCCAUGCUGAAAUUGUGACCUUGGGCUAGUCACUCCAGCUCCCCACACCUGUUUUCUCAUUGGUACACUGAAGAUAAGGAUAUCUGCUGCCAUCCAGGUCAUUGUGAGAUUAUUAAUUAAAAUACCCCAAAUGCUUAGAACAGUUCCUGGAACCCAACUGCGUGUUGCUUGAGCAGUCCUACUGAACAGUGCAGAUAAAGAACAUUUCCAUCAUCACAGAAAAUUCUGUUGGAAAUCAUUGCUCUGGAUCAUGUAAGAGUCAAGGAAAAGUUCACAAAGUGCAUGGUCUGUGCCUGGCACGGAGAAAGAGAGAGACCAGAAAACUUCCCAUUGUCCCAGCUGUCCUGAUAAGAGGGGCAGGAAUCUGCUGGGCAAACAUUUGUGUAAAGGUCCUCCAGUUACAGGAAACUUAGCCCAGAAGGAAGAAGCCAUGGGAGAGGAAUCUGCCGGCCAGGGGAGCAUCACACACCAUCUUUGGUGUCACCGAGAAGAAGCCGUGGAGUUGCAGCUACCAUUUAUCAAGUAGCCCCUGUCUAUAGGCACCAGCUCUAGAUGCCACAGACCCCUGGCAAAGUCUCAUCUGUCCUCCUUCACGGCAGACAGAACUGAUGCUAGGUGUGGGGGUGGCUCCCCUGAGGUCACACAGUCGGGGCUGAGAGUUGAACCCACGUUGGUCUGGCUCUGAGGUCCACGGCUCCUCAGUGUCACCCUGUACGGGGCUGAGUUGUGUCCACCAAAGAUUCGUAUGUUGAAGUCCUGACCGCAGGAUCUCCGAAUGCGACGUAUUUGGGGAUAGGGUCUUUAAAGAGAUAGAAGAAUAGACUAUUUCCUGGGCACUGAAGAGGAGAGUGGAAUUGGCUAUGAAUGAGAACUUGGAAUAAGAGAGAUGCAUGAACAGUCUACAUGGACAGAGGCUAUAUGACUGAGGACCAGAAAAGUCAAAGUACUUUUUGGCAGAUGGUGACACAGGCAGAGGACAACAGAGGACCCGAUGCCUGACCCCUCCAAGCUUCAGCACUCCCUCUCCAACACAUCUCCAAGGAGAAGAUUAUGUUUCCUCCAAAGACAAGAAGGGAAUUUGGAAAAGAAAUGAAAUUCCACUAUGAAUCAUAGAGGAAGUUGUUAACUGCAUGGAUUCUACAGAGAUUCAUAAAAAAUUAAUUAGUUUUCUAUUUACAUUUUGCAUUGACCUUCCAACACCGAAUGGUAUAUUCUACACGAAGUGUGUACUCUGUAACUAUUCGAUACACUCCAUUUCUUUAUUUGGCUCUAUGUUUGUACAACUAUGUUAGGCCAUAGCCUCUCUUCCCACUCUCCAGUCUGAUCACCACCAGCCACAUGUGGCUCCUGAGGAAUUGUGGCUAGUCUGAAUUGAGAUCCUCUGUAAAUGUCAAAUAUGUACCUGAUUUUGAAGAUUUAGUACAAUACAAGAAUGUAAAAUAUCAUGCUAAUAUUUUUUGUAAUCAUUGCAGAUUGCUAAUAUUUUGGACAUGUUUGGCCAUUUUUAUAUAAAUAAGAUAUUCAUUUAUAUAAAUAUGAAAUAUUAUAGAAAACAUAAUAUAAAAUAUAAUAAGUAAAAUACAGUAUUAAACUUAAGUUCACCUGUUUGUUUUUACUUUUUAAAAAUGUGCCUGCUAGGGGGCAGUUGGUUAAGUGUCCUACUCUUGAUUGGGGCUCAGGUCGUGAUCUCAGGGUCCUGAGAUGGAGCCCCAUGACUGGCCCGUCACUGGCUCUGUGCUUGGCACAAAAUGCUUGAGAUUCUCUCUGCCUCUCCUUCUGCCCCUCCUGCUCGUGCUCUCUCUCUCUCUCAAAUAAAUAAAUAAAUAAAUCUUUAAAAAAAAUGUGCCUGCUAGGAAAUUUUAAAUUUCAUAUGUGACUCACAUUAUAUUUCCAUUGGAAAAUGCGGCCCUUGUAUCCUUAUUCCUGUUGAUCUCCUUUACUUUCACCUAAGUAGCUACUAUUACUGCUUAAUGUUUUCCAUAUGGAAAAAAUUAAAAUUAAAAUUAACUUUUCCCUGUGGGCUCUUGAUGAUUAUAUAAUGAUAAUGUCUAACAUCUCCUGACAGGUUGUACUAGAAAUAACAUUAAGAAAUAGCUUAUAUCU